CUUGGAGACGGCUACACUGUGACCAAACCCCCAUGUCGAUUUAUUUCUCCUGCUUGUCAGUAUGCGCCCGGGGGGUGGGGGGUCGCAACCUGACGUUGCCGAUAUUUCUGACACCGAAUCUGCUCCAGGCAGCUCAGGAAACACCGGCCUCUGCCUGAGCUGACGCGCCGUCUGGCGAGGUUCAGAGACCGUCUGGCGGUGCACAGGCCGGGCGCCCUCUUUUCUCUCUUUUUUUUCUUUUCUGUUCGCUUCUCCAUCGCCAGGGGUCGUGUCUGCCUCCGUCUCAGCCCUCGUUUCUCACUCUCUCUCCCAAAUGAGACUGAAUAUCCAGCGGCUCUGAAAACCCCCCUCGCACUCAACACUGCUGCGCACUACAAAAAAUGGCGGAUAGAUACUGAAUCCACACCAGACAAAAAAUACAUACAUACAAAUCCCUGCAAAGCGGAGAGUGGAGCGUGGAUUGGCCCGCGUUGAGGGACUGGUCAGUACUACCGGAGCAUGAGGAAGCCGGGGCGUCAGAGAGCUAUCGAGUGGAAAGAUGAGAGACGACACAAACACGCGCGGAGCGGACGGCCCUCCCGGACGCCGCCGCAGUACCAGGGACACUUCAGCUGGGAGAAGUAUCUGAAAGAGACAGGUGCCGUAGCUGCCCCCGCCCACUGUUUCAGACAGGAGACUGAAGGGUUGCGGAGUGAGACGCGUCUGGCAUGACCCUUGUAGGAAUAUCUCCGUUUGGGGCCACUAGCAUAUCCUCUGCAUCGGGAGGGCAGAGUGAGCAGCAGAAUGUAC